rnacentral:lncRNA from 1 species
CUUCCUCUGGGCAUAGAGCAGGACUCCUUCUGGAAUGAAGGUCUAAUGGUCUACAAUCUGUCAAGAUCAGCUCUAUUCAGUAUGGAAAAGGACUACACAGAAACUUGAAUAACAUGAGGCAAGAAUCAAUGGGGACCAUCUUGGAUAAUGGUUAUUACCAAGAAGAUAAACACAAUAAUAAAUAGAAUAUUUAAGUGAUGACCAGUGCUCCAAUAACCAUGUUGGAAUAUGAAGCAACCUUGAAGAUGAAAGCUAUGCACUUAGAAUGAGGAGUAGAAACUUAAACACUAAGGACCAAGAAACAGCAACACUAAUCCUGAACUCUAUUUCAGGACUUCUUUUAAAUGAAAAAAAAAAAAAAUAAUAAUCUUCCAUACAUUUAGCCAGUAUUAUUUCGGAUUCUAUUAUUUUUGUUACACAUAGCUAUUGAUAUGGGAGUUAAGAAGAAAUUAUUUAGGCAGAUAGUGAGGUUAUGGAAGCUGAGAAGUUCAAGGUCGAGGGGCCACAUCUGGAGAGAGUCUUCUUGCUGGUGGGGACUCUGCAGAGUCUGGAGGCGGAGCAGGGCAUCAUACAAAAAGAGAUGGAAAAUCUCAAGAAGUUAUAGCAUCAAGAAAUUCUUAUCUUGAAGAGGCAGAAGAGUUGCAGGGGCUUCAAUUACCUUAAUUUGACCCAUUCAGCUCAGUUUAACUGAGAUGCACAUUUACGUCAGUGGACUUGGAGUAGAGAUUGCCCUAUAACAUGAGUGGGCCUCAUCCAAUCACUUGAAGUCCUGAAUAGAACAAAGAGUGACCUCCCCUGAGCAAGAGGGAAUUCUGCAGCAGACUACCUUUGGACUGGAAUUGCAGCAUUGGCCCUCCCAGGGUCUCCGGUCUGCCAGCCCACCCAGUAGAUUUUGACCUUGCCAACCUCUAUUAUUGCAUAAGUCAGUUUUGAAAAAUA